rnacentral:rRNA from 1 species
AUUCCAGCUCCAAUAGCGUAUAUUAAAGUUGUUGCGGUUAAAAAGCUCGUAGUUGGAUUUCUGUUGAGGUUGGGCGGUCCGCACUACGUGCGAGUAUCUGCUUCGGCCUUGGCAUCCUCUCGGAAAACGCUACUGUGCUUGAUUGCAUGGUGCGGGGUUCGGGACUUUUACUUUGAGGAAAUUAGAGUGUUCACGGCAGGCAAUCGCCCUGAAUAUAUUAGCAUGGAAUAAUAAUAUAGGAUCUGAUGCCUAUUUUGUUGGUUUCUAGGCGUGAGAUAAUGAUUAAUAGGGACAAUUGGGGGGAUUCGUAUUAUGGCGUCAGAGGUGGAAUUCUUGGAUUGCCAUACGACGAACUACUGCGAAAGCAUUUCUCAGGGAUGUUUUCAUUA